GAUCGGGAAAACAAGAAUCAAUGCGAAUUCAUAAGGAAAAGAGCAGGAGAACAAAAACAACAAUUACACUGUAUUUUGUUUUUGUUUUCAGUGUAACAAUUGUCAAAAACAGGGAGAUUGGAAAAAUAUAUGUACAUACAAAACACAACGAUUUGCCUUCAAAAAGGUUUUCCAAACCCAUUUUUACAGACUUUGAGCCGUCUUGAAAAAGCGUUCCCUCAAUAAACAUAGACAGGUAAUUUCAUAGUCCACUGCAGCGUCUUCUAAGCAGAACUGUUUGCAAUCAUGGAAUCCGCCGAGUGACUCGAUAACAAAUAGCCAUCAGAUUUCUACAGGGUAACAGUACAACAUCAAAACGGGCUAUGAAAAGAAACAACCUGAACAAUUUUUCGGCUUAAUUGCAAUACUGCCAUGGUCUGGGUACCCAUACACAGAAGCAUCCCACGCUUUUUCACGGCAGACGAGCCAGCUAUGACCAAAAUUGGAAGCGAAAAAAAUCUGAACAUAUUUUCUUUCUAGACCAGUUAUCCACCCAACUACGGGUGUAAUAAGACAAGUAACUGUUCAAUGGGGCUUCACGGAAAAGCAGGCUACUAUUCCAAUCAUGGUGGCCGCAUAGAAAGAGUCUAUUGAACACUAAGACUUCUUUAAAUGACUCGCUAAGCAAGCUUCAACAAAAAUUGCUAAUCUUGCUGCUUUUAAUAAACACGCGAAAUGGCUCGAGAGAAGGACAAGAUAAGAACGUCUUGCGCAUAAACUUAAUUCAACAACGGUCUAUAUUUUUUAUUAAAAAAAAAAAAACAAAAAAUCUAAUUUGAAAAUUUUAAUUUUUUCAAUUGGAAAUUCAAAUUAAAUGUAAACAAAAGAAAAGCAAAAUAUAAAUAAAAAUGCAAUGUAUGAAAAGCAUUUUGACAGUCGUUGAAAAGUUGAAUUCGCAGCUCUUGAUAAAUUCUCUUUGACAAGAAUCUUUGAUAUAUAGAUUAUUUGAACGUGUGUGAGUGAGAAUCGUGAAUUAGGCUGUGCUAGAUCCUGGAAAACGAGCAACGAAAUAGUGGACACCAAAUUUGUAAGUUCCAGUUCAUCCUCUAAAGACACCUAAAACCAAAGUGAAUGUCAUGAGAAAAAUUACAACUUUGAAGGAUUUAGAUUAUGGAACCCAACCAAAGAAAAUUGAACGAAAUACGUACAGAAGGUUUUCGAAGACUGGUAAAACUUGCAGAACAAAGGGAUUUGAUUUGAAGUGUUGCACAUAAGAUUUGCAUUACUUUUUGUCCUUGAAGAGGAAAUUGAAAUUAAAGAGUCAAAGUUAGAAGCAAGAUUGGAUAGAAGAA